rnacentral:misc_RNA from 1 species
UUUACUAAGUCGAUAUAAUAUCGAUAUCCUCCCACCUUGCAUUCACGUGCAAGCACUGGCACAAGUAAGACCGCAGACGCUGGUGAACCUGUGCCACUGCCUAUCCAAGAUUCAAGCAAGCACUCUAUAAGUUUCACCGCUAUGGAUUACGCCCAAAUGAACAAGCUUAGUCGCCCAGUUUUUGGUCGGCCUCGAGCAAGCAAGCAUGGGCCUCAAGAAGUUUAGCAAGAGCUUGGAGGCUGAAGUGAUUCCUGCCGUUACCGUGAACGCGUGUACGUACAUGUGUCUUCAUGUGUGCACUUGUAUACAUGUGUGUAUGCAGACAUGUGUUUGAGGGGUGCAAUAACUACAGAAACAGAAGUUCUGGCCUGGAAGGAAGGUACGUCCAUGUAAUGACGGAAAUCGCUCAACAGAGAGACAGGAAGUUGACACAUUGUGAAUACGUCCGUGCGAUUUACAGGUUGGGAAUGGUUUUAACUGGAAAGGAUCAAGGCACAGACAUACGUGUGAAUCAGUCAGCCUGUUUAAAUACCAGGUGGACAUGCGCAUCUCUUUGCAUUGUUAUUCCUGAUCAUGAGGUGCUGAAUGCCUUUUGGGGCAGAUGUGCGUAAACAAACAGCAUUAUCGGAAUGGAUAAUUAUCAAUGCAGUGAGGAUUUCCAUGCAACACGUGCAUGAUCUGUCAGAGUGACAAAUGACACAAGUAUGUACUGGAGAAUAACAAGGAACGUCUCGGCCAAACACACAAUAAGAGAAGAGAUUGUCAUACAAGAAUACAUUAAACAUAGUAUACUAUGCGUUUGCAUGAAUACAAGAACGACUGUGCAUGAACGAGUAAGCAUAGGGUCUAUUCUUAUUGUACUGUAAUUAUAGCAUGUAGAAUCCUACAUAUGUUAUGAAAAAUAUGAUAUGAUAUAUAGGUCGAUAUGUGUGUGUGUGUGUGUGUAUGUUUGUGUGUGCGUAAACAUGUGUGUGUGUGUGUGUGUGUGAAGUUAUCUAUGAUGAAAUUCUGCUGAGGGCCAGUUUAUAGGCCUCUUUGCAUUUAUCUAUGUAAUCAGUUUCCUUUAAGAUUCACACAUAAAGGGGUAAUAAAUGAAACAUCAACACGGAAAUAUAUUUCUUAAAAUAUAAUUCAUAAAUAACAAGUCACA